GGGGGUGCACUGGUUUCGACAGGGGUUGCAGACGAAUUGAGCGCGUGUCGGGGUUGAUCGGACGGCCUCGUUAAAAAUCCGAUUACAUCUUAUUCGGCAACGAACAAGAAUUCGCAAUGGCUGCAUAAUUUAAAUAAUUAUUGCGCUUGCUGAGGGGCCUGCACCGAUAACAAAAAGCAGGUAAAGACCUCUUGAGGGGAGGUCGGAAAACUAAGCCCUCGCUGCUAGUCGGGACCGCAGUUGAAACUUUCACCGAGGUUUGUAAGUGGCACGAAACUUUCAAAGCCGUCGCUUGCUCUAAUGCGACUACACACGUAGUGCUCUCUCUCAGACGUACUCUUGGACGCCGGUUCGAUUCCGGCCACCUCCACCA
rnacentral:tmRNA from 1 species